rnacentral:rRNA from 1 species
UAAAUCAGUUAUCGUUUAUUUGAUAGUACCUUACUACUUGGAUAACCGUGGUAAUUCUAGAGCUAAUACAUGCUAAAAACCCCGACUUCGGGAGGGGUGUAUUUAUUAGAUAAAAAACCAAUGCCCUUCGGGGCUCUUUGGUGAUUCAUGAUAACUUAACGGAUCGCAUGGCCUUGCGCCGGCGACGGUUCAUUCAAAUUUCUGCCCUAUCAACUUUCGAUGGUAAGGUAUUGGCUUACCAUGGUUUCAACGGGUAACGGGGAAUUAGGGUUCGAUUCCGGAGAGGGAGCCUGAGAAACGGCUACCACAUCCAAGGAAGGCAGCAGGCGCGCAAAUUACCCAAUCCCGACUCGGGGAGGUAGUGACAAUAAAUACUGAUACAGGGCUCUUUUGGGUCUUGUAAUCGGAAUGAGUACAAUUUAAACCCCUUAACGAGGAACAAUUGGAGGGCAAGUCUGGUGCCAGCAGCCGCGGUAAUUCCAGCUCCAAUAGCGUAUAUUAAAGUUGUUGCAGUUAAAAAGCUCGUAGUUGAACCUUGGGCCUGGCUGGCCGGUCCGCCUCACCGCGUGUACUGGUCCGGCCGGGCCUUUCCUUCUGGAGAGCCGCAUGCCCUUCACUGGGUGUGUCGGGGAACCAGGACUUUUACUUUGAAAAAAUUAGAGUGUUCAAAGCAGGCCUUUGCUCGAAUACGUUAGCAUGGAAUAAUAGAAUAGGACGUGCGGUCCUAUUUUGUUGGUUUCUAGGACCGCCGUAAUGAUUAAUAGGGAUAGUCGGGGGCAUCAGUAUUCAAUUGUCAGAGGUGAAAUUCUUGGAUUUAUUGAAGACUAACUACUGCGAAAGCAUUUGCCAAGGAUGUUUUCAUUAAUCAGUGAACGAAAGUUAGGGGAUCGAAGACGAUCAGAUACCGUCGUAGUCUUAACCGUAAACUAUGCCGACUAGGGAUCGGGCGAUGUUUCUAUCUUGACUCGCU